rnacentral:rRNA from 1 species
CGGCGGACGGGUGAGUAACGCGUGGGUAACCUGCCUCAUACAGGGGGAUAACAGUUGGAAACGGCUGCUAAUACCGCAUAAGCGCACAGUACCGCAUGGUACGGUGCGAAAAACUCCGGUGGUAUGAGAUGGACCCGCGUCUGAUUAGGUAGUUGGUGGGGUAACGGCCUACCAAGCCGACGAUCAGUAGCCGACCUGAGAGGGUGACCGGCCACAUUGGGACUGAGACACGGCCCAA